rnacentral:rRNA from 1 species
ACUUCCUUCGGGAAGUGCAUAAAGUGGCGCACGGGUGAGUAACACGUAAGUAAUCUACCUUCGAGUGGGGAAUAACGUCCGGAAACGGACGCUAAUACCGCAUAAUGCAGCGGCAUCGUAAGAUGACAGUUGUUAAAGGAGCAAUUCGCUUGAAGAGGAGCUUGCGGCAGAUUAGCUAGUUGGUAAGGUAAUGGCUUACCAAGGCUACGAUCUGUAACCGGUCUAAGAGGACGGUCGGUCACACUGACACUGAAUAACGGGUCAGACUCCUACGGGAGGCAGCAGUCGGGAAUUUUGGGCAAUGGGCGAAAGCCUGACCCAGCAACGCCGCGUGAAGGAUGAAGUAUUUCGGUAUGUAAACUUCGAAAGAAUAGGAAGAAUUAAUGACGGUACUAUUUAUAAGGUCCGGCUAACUACGUGCCAGCAGCCGCGGUAAUACGUAGGGACCAAGCGUUGUUCGGAUUUACUGGGCGUAAAGGGCGCGUAGGCGGCAUGACAAGUCACUUGUGAAAUCUCCGGGCUUAACUCGGAACGGUCAAGUGAUACUGUCGCGCUAGAGUGCGGAAGGGGCAAUCAGAAUUCUUGGUGUAGCGGUGAAAUGCGUAGAUAUCAAGAGGAAUACCUGAGGUGAAGACGGGUUGCUAGGCCGACACUGACGCUGAAGCGCGAAAGCCAGGGGAGCAAACGGGAUUAGAUACCCCGGUAGUCCUGGCCCUAAACGAUGAAUACUUGGUGUCUGGAGUUUUUAGUGCUCCGGGUGCCGUCGCUAACGUUUUUAGUAUUCCGCCUGGGGAGUACGCUCGCAAGAGUGAAACUC